UUUGGGAAUUACGCAGUAGUAAAAUCCCCCUAAAGCUUUCGUUGAACUCGUCAUCGUGGUGAAAUAAUUUAUGUACCGAUCCGUUUCAGUGCCAAUACCACCAGUAGAAAGUGCCUGAAUGAUGUUUGGAGUGCAUCCUUAAUUAAUGGAUGUCUUUGUCCUGCAGACCCAAACUGAUGAACAUUGUGAAAGCGACGGUCGAUGAAAACCCCUCUUCCUUGACAGUGGCUGGCCUAGGGGCAAACUCUGCUGAUAAUUUUAAUGCAAGGAGCUGUUUUUUCUUGUCUAGGUGUCCACAUCAGAGGAUGACUAGGACACUUGGUGCUUAGUAGGCCUCGUCUUGCCUGCCAGUGGCAGGAGGUAUCGCAGGAUGUUCAGCACCCAGAUUUGGAGCCAGUCAUUCGCGCCACGAUGGCGAUCUGGCAGCUGCUGGAGUGAGCCAAAUGGAGCAAUGCUACACCUACGGGAUGGCUACGUACAUCUUACAAAGGAGAUCCACUUGGCAACCUUUGAUUGGAAAAUAGGGGAAGGAUGGCCCCACCCCACUUGAAAAUCAGGGGGGAGAGAGGAUUAGGAGGAAGGUUUCGUAACAAAUUACGUAACUGUUAGUAGGUGUAGGAUUAUUGGCGUGAGAACUUCUGCAAUUGGCAUGGCUUGGUCCUUUUCUCCUUUUGUUCUUAUCCUUCUUAUAUACAGAUUAGGGCAUAGCGUGUAGGACCUAAGUUGGGGUACUGUGUAUUUCUAUGAUUUUGAGGGGUGUAUUUGUAUUUAUUUCUGACUGAAGAUACUAUUACUUCAUUGACUAUGUUUGUAUGUGUGCGAAGAAAAUCUUGCAUCUAAAUUACAGUAGCAUCAGCACUUUUUUUGUAA